rnacentral:tRNA from 1 species
CGCAUCGCUGGCUCGGCAGCGGAGCGCCGCGCGUUAUCGGCGCGCGGCGGGAUCGGCGAUGAAACCGACCUUCGCAAGGCCGGCGGCCCGU